CGUGAAGCCUGAUAACCUGCUUGUGGAAGAAGAGACCAAGGGCCAAACUGUUAGCGAUAUCGAGAAUGUGCAGAAACCUUCUGCUGAUUUAGAACCAGGAACAGCCAUGAAGCCUGAUAAUCUGCUUGUGGAAGAAGAGACCAAGGGCCGAACUGUCAGCGAUAUCGAGAAUGUGCAGAAACUUUCUGGUGAUUUAGAACCAGGAACAGCCAUGAAGCCUGAUAACUUGCUUGUGGAAGAAGAGACUAAGGGCCGAGUGGUUAGCGAUAUAGAGAAUGGGCAGAAACCUUCUGCUGAUUUAGAACCAGGAACAGCCAUGUGCAGAAACCUUCUGCUGAUUUAGAACCAGGAACAGCCAUGUGCAGAAACCUUCUGCUGAUUUAGAACCAGGAACAGCCAUGAAGCCUAGUGACUUGCUUCUAUAAGAAGAGACUAAGGGCCCAUUUGGGAUUGUUGUUGGAAAACUAUUUAUUUGAGAACCACUUUUAUAAAAUAGUUUUUCAGAAACGUGCUCUUGGG
rnacentral:lncRNA from 1 species